rnacentral:snRNA from 1 species
AUGGGCUCUCAGCCUUUGGGCUAAGAUCAAUUGUAGCAUUUAUUCUUACCAGUUUAAUAUGUUAUACACUUCUAUCCGACGACAAUAUAUUACAUUAAUUUUUAGAGUAGGGAAUUGGAAUAAGAAUUUGCUUUGUCCACUCCAUACACUGACCUGGUAUUGCUGUGCCCCCUGGAAUGGCAUGCACACA